rnacentral:rRNA from 1 species
GACGAACUCUGGCGGCGUGCCUAAUACAUGCAAGUCGAGCGGACCGGAUUGGGGCUUGCCUUGAUUCGGUCAGCGGCGGACGGGUGAGUAACACGUGGGCAACCUGCCCGCAAGACCGGGAUAACUCCGGGAAACCGGAGCUAAUACCGGAUAACACCGAAGACCGCAUGGUCUUCGGUUGAAAGGCGGCCUUUGGGCUGUCACUUGCGGAUGGGCCCGGGGCGCAUUACCGAGUUGGUGAGGUAACGGCUCACCACGGGGACGAUGCGGAGCCGGCCUGAGAGGGUGACCGGCCACACUGGGACUGAGACACGGCCCAGACUCCUACGGGAGGCAGCAGUAGGGAAUCUUCCGCAAUGGGCGAAAGCCUGACGGAGCGACGCCGCGUGAGCGAAGAAGGCCUUCGGGUCGUAAAGCUCGGUUGUGAGGGACGAAGGAGCGCCGCUCGAAGAGGGCGGCGCGGUGACGGUACCUCACGAGAAAGCCCCGGCUAACUACGUGCCAGCCGCCGCGGUAA